rnacentral:rRNA from 1 species
UACGAAGGGGGCUAGCGUUGCUCGGAAUUACUGGGCGUAAAGCGCACGUAGGCGGAUUGUUAAGUCGGGGGUGAAAGCCUGUGGCUCAACCACAGAAUUGCCUUCGAUACUGUAGAGCUUGAGACCGGGAGAGGUGAGUGGAAUUCCCAGUGUAGCGGUGAAAUGCGUAGAUAUUGGGAGGAACACCAGUGGCGAAGGCGGCUCACUGGACCGGUACUGACGCUGAGGCGCGAAAGCGUGGGGAGCAAACAGG